rnacentral:misc_RNA from 1 species
CACGGCAGGAACCGGGAUCAAAAGCGUUAGCUAGUUGGCUCAUCAUCUCUUGGUCAUUCUUUUCGCAAGAAAAGGCCCCGGACCCCCUGUGGGGAAUUUGCAGGAAAAAAUGGAGAGAUCUUUCUCCGGAAACUUGAUCUGAAAUCAGGUAGGACUACCCGCUGAACUUAA